rnacentral:rRNA from 1 species
AUUGAACGCUGGCGGCAGGCCUAACACAUGCAAGUCGAACGGUAGCACAGAGAGCUUGCUCUCGGGUGACGAGUGGCGGACGGGUGAGUAAUGUCUGGGAAACUGCCUGAUGGAGGGGGAUAACUACUGGAAACGGUAGCUAAUACCGCAUAACGUCGCAAGACCAAAGAGGGGGACCUUCGGGCCUCUUGCCAUCAGAUGUGCCCAGAUGGGAUUAGCUAGUAGGUGGGGUAACGGCUCACCUAGGCGACGAUCCCUAGCUGGUCUGAGAGGAUGACCAGCCACACUGGAACUGAGACACGGUCCAGACUCCUACGGGAGGCAGCAGUGGGGAAUAUUGCACAAUGGGCGCAAGCCUGAUGCAGCCAUGCCGCGUGUAUGAAGAAGGCCUUCGGGUUGUAAAGUACUUUCAGCGGGGAGGAAGGCGAUAAGGUUAAUAACCUUGUCGAUUGACGUUACCCGCAGAAGAAGCACCGGCUAACUCCGUGCCAGCAGCCGCGGUAAUACGGAGGGUGCAAGCGUUAAUCGGAAUUACUGGGCGUAAAGCGCACGCAGGCGGUCUGUCAAGUCGGAUGUGAAAUCCCCGGGCUCAACCUGGGAACUGCAUUCGAAACUGGCAGGCUAGAGUCUUGUAGAGGGGGGUAGAAUUCCAGGUGUAGCGGUGAAAUGCGUAGAGAUCUGGAGGAAUACCGGUGGCGAAGGCGGCCCCCUGGACAAAGACUGACGCUCAGGUGCGAAAGCGUGGGGAGCAAACAGGAUUAGAUACCCUGGUAGUCCACGCCGUAAACGAUGUCGACUUGGAGGUUGUGCCCUUGAGGCGUGGCUUCCGGAGCUAACGCGUUAAGUCGACCGCCUGGGGAGUACGGCCGCAAGGUUAAAACUCAAAUGAAUUGACGGGGGCCCGCACAAGCGGUGGAGCAUGUGGUUUAAUUCGAUGCAACGCGAAGAACCUUACCUACUCUUGACAUCCAGAGAACUUAGCAGAGAUGCUUUGGUGCCUUCGGGAACUCUGAGACAGGUGCUGCAUGGCUGUCGUCAGCUCGUGUUGUGAAAUGUUGGGUUAAGUCCCGCAACGAGCGCAACCCUUAUCCUUUGUUGCCAGCGGUUAGGCCGGGAACUCAAAGGAGACUGCCAGUGAUAAACUGGAGGAAGGUGGGGAUGACGUCAAGUCAUCAUAGCCCUUACGAGUAGGGCUACACACGUGCUACAAUGGCGCAUACAAAGAGAAGCGACCUCGCGAGAGCAAGCGGACCUCAUAAAGUGCGUCGUAGUCCGGAUUGGAGUCUGCAACUCGACUCCAUGAAGUCGGAAUCGCUAGUAAUCGUGGAUCAGAAUGCCACGGUGAAUACGUUCCCGGGCCU